CGAACACCACAGCUGCUGUUGCCCAUGAUAGCAUUUGAAGGGCCGAGCCAUAUCACGCGAGGAGAAUGUGGGCUCACAGAUCAGUGCAGCAGAGUCUCAGCAGCGUGACUUCAAGAGCAGGCCGGGAUUUGGCACCAUCUCCACUUUUUCUCCUUUCUGCCCAAUUGGUGAAUACACCUCAUGUAUGAUUGAUUAGAAAACAUAAGCAUUCGGCUCAGGGAGCUUCUCUGGCACAGAUGCUUGUAUUCUUGAUCCCCCCUAUCAUCUGAAGUUAAGCUCCUUAAAAUCAUAAAGGUAAGUACCCUAUUACUUUUUGAUAUCAAACAGAAGUCAGUAAGAAAUUAAUUGUACUGGAGUUAGAUCCCAAGCCAACUACUUUGAUGUUUCCAUUCAAUUUCAACCUGCCUUGGUGUAAACCUUAGAAAAUCUGCAAAGUAAAUGCUGAUGCUUUUUUGCAGUUAUUGCAUAAAUGUUGUGAGGUUCUUUGUAAAUUUUCUUUUCCCACAUCACAGUUCACAUCCCCUGUCCAUUAAAAAACUGAAACAUUACCAAUCAAGGGGCCAGAUCCUUUGUCUCCUGCAUGCUUAUGGCAGGCAACACAUCCAUCCGGUUAUGGCAGUGGAAAAUCAGGUUCCCUGUCUGGGUAUGACUACAGGUACAGUAGUUUUCCACACCCAGUGUGAAAGGCUGGUGCAAGAAGCAGUAGGAUCAAAGUCUUCUGUGUACCAGCUGUAGAAGUUGGAAUAAACUUGGACAAGCAUCAGAGCUGUCACAGGGAUGACAGAAACUGAAGGGCUGUGCCUCCCCAAGCAGCAACAUGUGGGAAUGUGGAAGAAUAGAGGACUUUUCAUGUAAUUACGGGCACAACUGCAACUGUUCCAAUGCUGGCUCUCUGCAGAGAGCACUGAGCUCAUUCAGGAUUAGUCAUCGGUGUGCAGCCUAGGGCAAGUCUGCACACAGGUUCAAACGUAAUCAAAACUUUCCCCAGUGACCACAAUGCUGCAGAAAGGUGUGUGUAGAUUCUGGAAGGACAAGCGAGUUAAUUCUGGAGUGGUUCAAAUUUGAAGAAAUUUUCUAAAUGGAGGAAAGCAUGUGUGUGUACACAUCUGGGACAACGGGGAUUUCUUAGAUGUCUUCAUUUCCUUCUGCAGGAGCAGAGACUGAUUGAAUAUUCAAGCCUACUGCUGUUUAUAUCCAGUCCGCAUCUCAAGAGGAAAAGCACGAACUGCUUCCCAAUGAAGCAGCCGUUCCUCCCACAAGAGCCCACGGUGCCAGGGCUCUUAGCAAAUGCCUGGUGCAACUACUCUUGAGCGUUCCCCCUGCACACUGGUGCCAACACACAGAUCACUGCGUCCCCGUGGGCUGGCGUGCUCCUAACAGCUUCAUCUGUCACCAAUCCUUUCACCAGACUUCACUUCCGUGGCUCCUUGGUGUACGCUCUGUCUGCUCUCCAUCAUUAUUGCACAGAACACUGCAAUUAUUUGGGCUGCUCUCUUCAGUUUGAGCUGUUUCUUCCUUUUGUAUGUGGGCUGAGGGCAUUUUUUUUUUCCUUCUUAAUUAAAGGGUUUUGUUUACAGUAUCAGUUUCCUGAAUGGAGAUUUAUGCAGACCCCAUAAUUAUAACAGUCCCAAUAAACUGCACAAACUGUCAUUUACAGUUACAACACAGUGUUAAAGUUAUUUAUACAUCAGCAUAGCAUCUCUGCUAUGUCAAACUACACAUCAGCGCACUUGGAGAGUAUCAGAUCUCACAAAAAGAGCUAAUGCUGAACUGCAGCUCUCUGGGAGGACUCCUUCCCAUUUCCUCUCUUCAGGACCAGCAAAUAACCAGUAGGUUAAAGAGGGGAAACUCAGGCAAGCAGAAAGAGAGGAGUGAGCUCUGAACUCCUUUCUCCCAAAAAAUACAAACAACUUCAAGAAUUUAACAGCCCCUAUUUUGGCAAGCAUGCUGCGAGACAAUUGAGACAAACAUGUAGAAAUACUGACAACGUCCUUUUCUCUCCCUGUAUCAGAGCUGCAGCUGCUUCACCUGUUUGGGCACCAAGAGUCCAACAGUGCCAAUACAUGCACUGAAACCCUCAACUAAGGUUGAGGAGUUGGGCUGGAAUUCCAUUGUUCAAUGAACUAUCUCUGUGAGUGAUGAGAAUAGGUUUGCUCUAGUGAUUCGGCCUUGCUGUGCCCACAACACGAGCACAAGCCAGAGAAACAGGCCUACUUCUCUACAGCCUGCACAUAGCAGGAACAAGUGAGGACUAGAGCAACCUUUCCUGUCCAUUACGUAGGCUCUGAAUACUGGUGAUGAAAAAGGAAGGAUUUGUCCAGACUAUCAAAAAAAAAAAGGAAGGAAGAGCUGAAGAACUUGACAAACUUCAGGGUAAAGGAGAUGAAAUAGAGGGAAGGAGAAAAGGUGGACUGGGAGACAAAUGGGGUAGGAAGCUGGAACAGAAGAACAGGAGAAGCAGGAUUAUUGGAAGCUCAAACCACCUCAAAUGGAAGCAAUGCCAGACCAACCGCACAAACUACAGUAGAAAACACAGAAAAAAAAAGUUAUUCCUCUAACUCAUCAUAAAAUCAUUGCAGAAACAGAAGAAUAAGGGAAAAAAAUAA
ensembl:lncRNA